rnacentral:rRNA from 1 species
GUGCACCAGUCGAGAACCUCCGCAAUACACGAAAGUGUGACGGGGCCAUCCCGAGUGCCGUCCGCUGAGGACGGCUUUCCCCAGUGUACACAGCUGGGGGAAUAAGGAGAGGGCAAGCCUGGUGUCAGCCGCCGCGGUAAUACCAGCUCUCCGAGUGGUGGGGACGCUUAUUGGGCCUAAAGCAUCCGUAGCCGGCUGGGCAAGUCCUCCGUUAAAUCCAACGAUUCAAUCGUUGGGCUGCGGGGGAUACUGUCCAGCUUGGGGGCGGGAGAGGCCGACGGUAUUCCCGGGGUAGGGGUGAAAUCCUAUAAUCCCGGGAGGACCACCAGUGGCGAAGGCUGUCGGCUAGAACGCGCCCGACGGUGAGGGAUGAAAGCUGGGGGAGCGAACCGGAUUAGAUACCCCUGUAGU